ACGCUGGCGGCGUGCCUAAUACAUGCAAGUCGAGCGAAGUUUUUCUGGUGCUUGCACUAGAAAAACUUAGCGGCGAACGGGUGAGUAACACGUAAAGAACCUGCCUCAUAGACUGGGACAACUAUUGGAAACGAUAGCUAAUACCGGAUAACAGUAUUUCUCGCAUGAGAGAUAUUUAAAAGUUGGUUAUGCUAACACUAUGAGAUGGCUUUGCGGUGCAUUAGCUAGUUGGUGGGGUAAAGGCCCACCAAGGCGACGAUGCAUAGCCGACCUGAGAGGGUGAUCGGCCACACUGGGACUGAGACACGGCCCAGACUCCUACGGGAGGCAGCAGUAGGGAAUCUUCCGCAAUGGGCGAAAGCCUGACGGAGCAACGCCGCGUGAGUGAAGAAGGAUUUCGGUUCGUAAAGCUCUGUUGUUAGGGAAGAAUGGAUAUGUAGUAACUAUACAUGUAAGAGACGGUACCUAACCAGAAAGCCACGGCUAACUACGUGCCAGCAGCCGCGGUAAUACGUAGGUGGCAAGCGUUGUCCGGAAUUAUUGGGCGUAAAGCGCGCGCAGGUGGUUUAAUAAGUCUGAUGUGAAAGCCCACGGCUCAACCGUGGAGGGUCAUUGGAAACUGUUAAACUUGAGUGCAGGAGAGAAAAGUGGAAUUCCUAGUGUAGCGGUGAAAUGCGUAGAGAUUAGGAGGAACACCAGUGGCGAAGGCGGCUUUUUGGCCUGUAACUGACACUGAGGCGCGAAAGCGUGGGGAGCAAACAGGAUUAGAUACCCUGGUAGUCCACGCCGUAAACGAUGAGUGCUAAGUGUUGGUCUCAUAAGAGAUCAGUGCUGCAGCUAACGCAUUAAGCACUCCGCCUGGGGAGUACGACCGCAAGGUUGAAACUCAAAGGAAUUGACGGGGACCCGC
rnacentral:rRNA from 1 species